AGGACCUUGCGCUUUUGGAGCGGCCGAUGUCUGAUUAGCUUGUUGGUAAGGUAAAAGCUUACCAAGGCUUCSAUCAGUAGCUGGUCUGAGAGGACGGCCAGCCACACUGGGACUGAGACACGGCCCAGACUCCUACGGGAGGCAGCAGUGGGGAAUUUUGGACAAUGGGGGCAACCCUGAUCCAGCCAUGCCGCGUGAGUGAAGAAGGCCUUCGGGUUGUAAAGCUCUUUCASCCGGAACGAAACGGUUACGGUUAAUACCCGUGACUACUGACGGUACCGGAAGAAGAAGCACCGGCUAACUACGUGCCAGCAGCCGCGGUAAUACGUAGGGUGCAAGCGUUAAUCGGAAUUACUGGGCGUAAAGCGUGCGCAGGUGGUUUUGUAAGUCAGAUGUGAAAGCCCCGGGCUCAACCUGGGAACU
rnacentral:rRNA from 1 species